rnacentral:rRNA from 1 species
CUUUACUGUAGCCUGGAAUUGGGUUCGGGCUUUGACUGCGCAGGAUAGGUGGGAGACUUAGAAGCAAUCCUUGUGGGGAUUGUGGAGUCAACGGUGAGAUACCACUCUGUUAAAGCUAGAAUUCUAACCGAUAGCCGUGAUCCGGCAUCGGAACAGUUUCAGGUGGGCAGUUUGACUGGGGCGGUCGCCUCCUAAACGAUAACGGAGGCGCACAAAGGUGCUCUCAGGCUGGUUGGAAAUCAGCCGUAGAGUGUAAAGGCAAAAGAGCGCUUGACUGUGAGACUGACAAGUCGAACAGGGUGGAAACACGGUCUUAGUGAUCCGACGGUGCCGCAUGGAAGGGCCGUCGCUCAACGGAUAAAAGUUA